GUCCUUUUGUAAUUCAUAAGCAUGAUGAUUGGGCAUUCAUACUCUUGUGUGACAUGUGCCUCCCACAGAUCUUGUUACGACAUCGGCACAUUACCCAUCUGACA